UACGAAGGGGGCUAGCGUUGCUCGGAAUUACUGGGCGUAAAGGGCGCGUAGGCGGGUCGUUAGUUGGGGGUGAAAGCCCAGGGGCUCAACCCUGGAAUUGCCUUCAAUCUGGCGACCUUGAGUAUGGCAGAGGUGUGUGGAACUCCGAGUGUAGAGGUGAAAUUCGUAGAUAUUCGGGAAGAACACCAGUGGCGAAGGCGACACACUGGGCC
rnacentral:rRNA from 1 species